UAGGGAGCCAUCUAUCACCAUGCAGGACUUAAAGCUUCUAAGUUCUGCUUGAAUAAACUCCUUUUCCAACAAUUCUCUGCACAAAAAAUUAAACGAUAGUAUUUGUUUUAUUGCAAAUGACACGGACACCAGUUUACUUGUCUACCGGAGUUGAAGAAAUGCCAAGGAAAAGGUAAGUUUCAAUUUUAUUAACAUAGGUGACAAAUAUUUGAUUAGCCGAUUCAUACUGAAAUCAGCUGAACAGCUAUAAAUGCAAAUUAGCUGAGAAUGUAGUCGCGUACGAUGGUGUGGGGGAGGGAUUGGGGGUUAGAGGACCUUUUCACUCCCCCGGCACUUGUGGACUGCUUUGUUCAAAUGUCUUUGCUAUUCAUUUCAACCUGAUCAGUGAAAAACAGGAAAGGCUUGCAGAGCUUGGACAAGUUCACCUUUUUGGGAGUCAGUUUCGACAUGUGCAGAGGUAAGACGUUUUGAAGAAGGAACCCAGCAGACUUGAAGUUAUUAGCCUUACUGGCCCUCCCCAAACAGACUCACAAAACUCUG
rnacentral:lncRNA from 1 species